rnacentral:rRNA from 1 species
UACGGAGGGUGCGAGCGUUAAUCGGAAUUACUGGGCGUAAAGCGCACGCAGGCGGCCGUGUAAGGCUGAUGUGAAAAACCUGGGCUUAACCUGGGAACUGCAUUCGAAACUGCACGGCUAGAGUAUGGGAGAGGGAAGCGGAAUUUCCGGUGUAGCGGUGAAAUGCGUAGAUAUCGGAAGGAACACCAAUGGCGAACGCAGCUUCUUGGCCCAAUACUGACGCCCAGGUGCGAAAGCGUGGGGAUCAAACAGG